CGGACCGUGAACUCCCACCGGUCCGCCUCGCCGAGGAGCGCCUGCUCGCCGAAGUAGUCGCCGUCGGCCAGCACCCCCAGCACGACCUCGUCGCCGUACGGCCCCUCGCCGAGCCUGGUGACCUUGCCGUGCGCGAUCAGCACGAUCUGGUCGGCCGGGCCGCCCGCCUCGACCACGGCGUCCCCCGGUUGGAACUCCUGCUGGACGAACCGGCCCGCGAGGGCCUGGAGGACCUCCCCGUCGUCGAAGCCCCGCAGCGCGGGAAGCUCGCACAGCUCCGCGGGGAUGACCUCGACCCGGGCCCCGGUCGAGGUGAAGCUGACCCGGCCGUCGCCCACCGCGUAGCUCAGCCGGCGGUUGACCCGGUACGUGCCGCCGGACACCUGCACCCAGGGGAGCAUCCGCAGCAGCCAGCGCGAGGAGAUGCCCUGCAUCUGCGGCACGGAUUUGGUCGUCGUCGCGAGAUUUCGCGCCGCCGCCGUGCCGAGGCUCGUCCGCGCGCCGU
rnacentral:antisense_RNA from 1 species